rnacentral:lncRNA from 1 species
GUGUUCGUCCAUUUGGAGUUUCUUUACUUAUUUGUGGUUGGAAUGAGGGACGACCAUAUUUAUUUCAGUCAGAUCCAUCUGGAGCUUACUUUGCCUGGAAAGCUACAGCAAUGGGAAAGAACUAUGUGAAUGGGAAGACUUUCCUUGAGAAAAGAUAUAAUGAAGAUCUGGAACUUGAAGAUGCCAUUCAUACAGCCAUCUUAACCCUAAAGGUUAGCUCAGGCAAAUGACAGAGGAUAACAUAGAAGUUGGAAUCUGCAAUGAAGCUGGAUUUAGGAGGCUUACUCCAACUGAAGUUAAGGAUUACUUGGCUGCCAUAGCAUAACAAUGAAGUGACUGAAAAAUCCAGAAUUUCAGAUAAUCUAUCUACUUAAACAUGUUUAAAGUAUGUUUUGUUUUGCAGACUUUUUGCAUACUUAUUUCUACAUGGUUUAAAUCGACUGUUUUUAAAAUGACACUUAUAAAUCCUAAUAAACUGUUAAACC